rfam:Daphnia pulex DAPPTscaffold_430_Cont9527, whole genome shotgun sequence.
UCCCAUAUUGUCUAGUGGUUAGGAUACCUGGCUCUCACCCAGGAGGCCCGGGUUCGAUUGCCGGAAUGGGAA